rnacentral:rRNA from 1 species
GGGCCAGACUCCUACGGGAGGCAGCAGUGGGGAAUAUUGCACAAUGGGGGAAACCCUGAUGCAGCGACGCCGCGUGAGUGAAGAAGUAAUUCGUUCUGUAAAGCUCUAUCAGCAGGGAAGAAAAUGACGGUACCUGAGUAAGAAGCCCCGGCUAACUACGUGCCAGCAGCCGCGGUAAUACGUAGGGGGCAAGCGUUAUCCGGAUUUACUGGGUGUAAAGGGAGCGUAGACGGCAGUGCAAGCCAGGAGUGAAAGCCCGGGGCCCAACCCCGGGACUGCUCUUGGAACUGCGUGGCUGGAGUGUAGGAGGGGCAGGCGGAAUUCCUGGUGUAGCGGUGAAAUGCGUAGAUAUCAGGAGGAACACCGGUGGCGAAGGCGGCCUGCUGGACCGUAACUGACGUUGAGGCUCGAAAGCGUGGGGAGCAAACAGGAUUAGAUACCCGCGUAC